rnacentral:rRNA from 1 species
UGGGGAAUAUUGCACAAUGGGCGAAAGCCUGAUGCAGCAACGCCGCGUGAGUGAUGAAGGCCUUCGGGUUGUAAAGCUCUGUCUUCUGGGACGAUAAUGACGGUACCAGAGGAGGAAGCCACGGCUAACUACGUGCCAGCAGCCGCGGUAAUACGUAGGUGGCAAGCGUUGUCCGGAUUUACUGGGCGUAAAGGAUGCGUAGGCGGAUACUUAAGUCAGAUGUGAAAAUCCCGGGCUUAACUUGGGAACUGCAUUUGAAACUGGGUAUCUAGAGUGCGGGAGAGGAAAGUAGAAUUCCUAGUGUAGCGGUGAAAUGCGUAGAGAUUAGGAAGAACACCAGUGGCGAAGGCGACUUUCUGGACCGUAACUGACGCUGAGGCAUGAAAGCGUGGGGAGCAAACA